AUUGAACGCUGGCGGCAUGCUUUACACAUGCAAGUCGAACGGCAGCACGGGGGCAACCCUGGUGGCGAGUGGCGAACGGGUGAGUAAUGCAUCGGAACGUGUCCUUAAGUGGGGGAUAACGCAUCGAAAGAUGCGCUAAUACCGCAUAAUCUCCGAGGAGAAAAGCAGGGGAUCGCAAGACCUUGCGCUUUUGGAGCGGCCGAUGUCUGAUUAGCUAGUUGGUGGGGUAAUGGCUUACCAAGGCUUCGAUCAGUAGCUGGUCUGAGAGGACGACCAGCCACACUGGGACUGAGACACGGCCCAGACUCCUACGGGAGGCAGCAGUGGGGAAUUUUGGACAAUGGGGGAAACCCUGAUCCAGCCAUGCCGCGUGAGUGAAGAAGGCCUUCGGGUUGUAAAGCUCUUUCAGCCGGAACGAAAUGGUCACGGUUAAUACCCGUGAC
rnacentral:rRNA from 1 species